rnacentral:rRNA from 1 species
UACGUAGGGGGCAAGCGUUGUCCGGAAUCAUUGGGCGUAAAGAGCGUGUAGGCGGCCCGGUAAGUCCGCUGUGAAAGUCUAGGGCUCAACCCUGGAAUGCCGGUGGAAACUGUCGGGCUAGAGUCCGGAAGAGGCGAGUGGAAUUCCUGGUGUAGCGGUGAAAUGCGCAGAUAUCAGGAGGAACACCGAUGGCGAAGGCAGCUCGCUGGGACGGUACUGACGCCGAGGCGCGAAAGCGUGGGGAGCAAACAGG